ACAGCCAGAAGGUAGACCAUCUGAAGUCACUGUGGCUUAUCCUGCAGCGUGAAGAUGCCUCACACGGUCCGCUCGCCGCAUAGGACAUUCAUAGAUGCAUAAUGCACGGGAGACGCCUGCGUGAUGUCGCAACAGUUCAGCGCACGCACGAUGUCGCAACAGGCCAUCCCUUCUUACUGCUGAGUUAUGCACAAAUGCAGAGUGAGAGACUCAGGAGCACUCGGUCCCAAAUGAGAUGUCUUCCCCAAACCCACCGCUCCUCUCAAGGCAUGGGGAUCUAUACUGAAGAGGACAUCAACGCAACCAAAAGAGACCAGAGACCGAGAGAGCCAGACAGGAUGGAGGGUACCAAGAAGGAAAAGGUGUCUUCCGGACAAACAGAAUCGGUGCACAUAGGAAAACCCACAGAGACCACAGCACUCACAGGACCUGUACGGGUUCAAGCCGGAUGGGGUCGCAGCGAUGACAAGGGAAACUGGUCUUGGGAUCUCACCUCUAACCAAAAGCUAUUUGCAAUUGACACCCACGGGCAAAGGAACAAUCCGCUUUCUCCAGUGGUGUCCCGGGGCGUAUCAACCAUACUGUAGCGCGGGCCCCACGCCCAGCAAUAGUUGGCCAACACAAAAUGAACUCCACGUAUUUUUUUUUUGUG